rnacentral:lncRNA from 10 species
ACACCUUCCUCUCUAACUCACCAGGUGGGAGGACACCUUUGCCCGGGAGCCACCUGUUGACCCUUGUGCCUGUGCCUCCAGAUGGAGUCUCACUUUUGCCGAGGCUGUAGUGCAAUGGCGCCAUCUCAGCUCACUGCAACCUCCGCCUCCCAGGUUCAAGCAAUUCCCCCGUCUCAGCCUCCCAAGUAGCUGGGAUUACAGGCACGCGCCACCAUGCCCAGGUAAUUUUUUUUAUUUUUAGUAGAGACGGGGUUUCACCGUGUUGCCCAGGCUGGUCUCCAACUCCUGAGCUCAGGCAGUCCACCUGCCUCAGCCUCCCAAGGUGCUAGGAUUACAGGCGUGAGCCACCGUGCCCGGCCUACCCACUAAUUAAUUUCAGCAUCCACUGGUGGGUCUUGCAAUGCAGUAAUUAUUAACUUAGUUUUCAAAGGUGAUUUUUGCAUUUUCCUCAUUCCUUUGACGUUUAUUAAUUGGAAUUCAUCUCUAAGAAAGAGCAGUCCCUUCAGCUUUUUUCCCUUUUUUUUUUUUGAGACAGGGUCUUGCUCUGCGGCUCAGGCUGCAGUGCAGUGGCUCGAUCACGGCUCACUGCAGCCUCGACCUCCCGGGCUCACGUGAUCUCCCAUCUCAGCCUCCUGAGUAACCAGAACCACAGGUGCUCACCACCAUGCCCAGCUGACUUUUUGUAUUUUUUGUAGAGAUGGGGUUUACCCAUGUUGCUCAGGCUGGUCUCAAAUUUUCGAGCUCAAGUGAUCCGCCCGCCUUGGCCUCCCAAAAGGCAUGAGCCACUGCGCCUGACCUACGAUUUCUUUCUUUAUAUAUCAGUAUGAACGCAAGGGCUGUUUGUUGGAUUCUGUGAGUCAUAAUCUGAUACUGUUUCCACGCUUUGGCCAUUGGGAGCUCCUGGAGAUUGUCUCCUGUGCCCUAUCCUUAUUUAAGCACUUGUUUAUUUUGGGAUGUCUUCAGUUUUCCUUGUCCCAGCUCUGCACCCAGCUGCUUCUCCAGGGAGCCCUCCCUCACUGGAGACUGGGAUUUAGCAACCAAGACCUGGGCACUGGCUGUGCUUGUUGCUUCUGGGCCCUCCUGGGACAGAGCUGGGAAGUGGAUCUAUGACACGUGCUUGUGCAUUUACCCGCCCUGUUGGUUUCUGUAGCUGUCUAGUUCCUGCUGUUCCUGUCUCACCUGCCCCUUUCCUUAUGUGUAGUUUCUUCCUGUGACAGGGAGAAACCUGGCUCUCAGAUUGACAGGACAUUCGCUUAGGCCAUGUCAGUGCUGUAGGUGAACUGUUCAACCUGUGCCCCAGGGAGGCGCAGUCACUAUGGAGGCACCUUACUUCCUUAAUCGUGUACUGUUGUUUUUGUGUUUGACCUGUAGCAUCUAAGUACUGGUUUCAAAAGUUGCCUAGAUGAGUUCUUUUCUUUCUUUCCACCUCCUGCAAAUUAUGUGAUUUGCAUAAUUUGUACAUAGUUAGGUUCAUUUGUUAGUUUGUAUUCCUUUUGGCUUCCCCCAUAUCCUCGUUGACUUUUUCUUUCUUUUGUAACUUACAUAUGUUAUGAAAUUUAUAUGAGGAUAUAUAAUUUUCAUAAAUGUUUAUGGUUUACAUGUAUUAGUUGUUAUUAUUAAGAUCACCCUGGGAUUGACUGGCCAAGCAUUUGGUGGAAGAUAGCAAUAAAUAAUACAUCAUAAAAGACUUUAAUGUAAAAAUAAAGCCAUGAAAGUACCAAGAAAUAAAUCUUCUCAUUUUAAUUACAUCAGCUUGUCUGUGAUCAUGUAGCCUAAGGUAGGCCAGAGUUAAUUUUUGUGUUAUCUAUACACGUUAUUGAAGCGAAUUAUAAAAUGUUUUAGCAUGUUAAUUACUUGUAAAUUAAUAUCUACAUAUAAAAAUGUGAGCAUAUAUUCUAUUUAGUAUAUUAAUCCUUCAUAAACAAGUAAUGCAAGUUAGUAUUAAUGAUAUCUUAAGACUUAACAUUCCUUUUUUAGUUUGUGUUGAAUAAAUGAACAUCUAAGAGUUCAUGAUGAUGCUUAAGGAAAGAAGCCUCAUGUUUACCUUUGGAAGUUGUAAGGCACUGACUCAUAAAAAUUGGCAAAUAAAAGGAAAGAAUCGGGCAUU